CAGAAGUCUUAUUUAUUUUCAUCAGCAUCAAACACUACAAAUGUGGGUAAAAAUCAAAGACUUCAACUUUUGGAUGAAUGGUGCAAAUUUCAUUCUUAGACUCAGUUUUUUCCUCAGGUCUGCUUCUGUGUGCAUGGGGAAGCUCUUGGUUGGUCCUGUGUUGGGUAAUUUAGGAAGAGCUCCACAACAUCAGUGGGCAAAAACUCCAUAAAGAUGGCAAGGGAAAUCUUACCUGAGUUUCCAGAGAGGAAGCCUCAUUAAGGGUCACUGAAGUUGAAGAAUGGAGAUGAAGCUGCUGAACUGGGAUCAGAAACUUGAAUCUGUCAGAUCUGAAGGCAGAGCCAGAAGUUCAAGAAAAUCAAUGCAGCUCCUGUUUGGCAGCUUAUAGUCAUGUCUUCAUUUGGGUGAUACUAUAUGACAGAGAUAAAGACAGAGAGCGAAGCAGCACUUUGGCUUAUUUUCCAAGCCAACAGAAAAGAUACAGCUUCUGCAGAACACUGUUGCUCUGAAGGGCUCCCAGCUGCACUGUGUCCCAGGCGUUCUGUUUGUUCAACAAGGCGUCAUUUAACCUGUCAGACUGAGGCACAUCUGUAUUCCAACCCCUCUGAAGAAGGAGCUAGUUCUGUGACGAAGUAUGGAUAUUUAGAAGUCAGUGAAGGUCACUGGAGUGGAGGACGUAGAUAUAUUUUUCCUUUGGAAGAAAACUUUUAAACUGGUUUUAGUGAUCAGUGCAAUUAGAAUACAACGUCCUAUCAAUCUUGUUGGUGUUUGCAGGAACAAAUUUCCAUGUGUUUUUGGCAGCUUUACAAUUGGGAUAAAAUACUCUGUGUUGCUCAGAGGAUGGCAGGCCACCAUAUUUCCAAUAGUGCUAUAUGCUGUGAAGAAAAAUAGCUCUUAAGGGAAAUGUUCGUGGCAUACAAUUGGAUUUCAUUAUUAAACAAACUGACCAGACAAUCAUUAUAUUGUUGCCAUUUAAUCAGAAGAAUUUGGUCUGAAAUCAAAGUCAGGGCAAAAGCUCUUGUUGGUGUUGAAGUGGUGGCACAAUUCAGUAGAACUGAGUGUAGAUGUUACUGGCCUCACCUUGCCAGCAGUGAGCAAAGAUGAGAAGACAGCCAGAGCCCUGUGGGACUUCUAACUGUCAUGCUGUGACUUUGCCCUCCACAUUCUUUCAAAGCUGGAGCGAGCUACAAAGCAGCUGCACUUUGAAAAGGGAUUAAGAGUUUCCUUCCAGGUUUUCACCUAGCAGCACUGGAGCCAGCUGCUCAGAAAACUGCACAACUUCCAUCCUUGGAGAUCUUCAGGACUGCUAGAAAAAAUCAUGGCUGACUAUGAGAGGUGAAUUGAUGACCCCUCGUGGCCCACUCCAGCCGAGAUCUAUAUGGAUCCAUUAAACCUUCAAGCUUUACGUCUUUUUGGCAUUCCUUGGUUGAGGGUACGACCCUACGUGUGCCAUCAUCCCCAGGCAUGGCUGCACAUCCAGCUCAUGCUGUUUUGCUGGUGAAUUUGCUGCCAUUGUGGAACUUCUUCACAAAGCCAUUUCAGCCUGAAGGCAGUGAAGGAGAAUCAGCAGAGAGAACUGCAGAGCAGCCCUUUCUCAAAGGAGAGCAGCCCCAGCAAGUCCUGCUGGAUGCCAAAGGCUGGGAUACCACCAGCCACGUGCACCAUCAGGGACAGAGCUGCUGCUGGAAAGCAGUGCGUUCAACACUGGCAUUAGUGCCAGAGGAAGAGACCUGAGAUGGAUCCCAAACACCAACAGGAACUUUGCAUCUGAGCAUCACUGCUGACAAACUUGGGUGCUCUACUUGCAUGGCUGAUGGUGAAGACCCUCACAAUGCCAUUGAUAGAACAGAAGACCAAAUACCAGUAAAUCUCUG
ensembl:lncRNA